AAGUCAAAGUUUAUUUCUAUAGCACAUUUAAAAGACUAGUGUACAUCAAAGUGCUUCACAAUAAAACCGCAAUGCAGGCAGAACAAAGAACAAAUUACAAUUAUACUUAAAAUUGCAUUUACAUGGUGUAGUGCAGGCCGAAUGAAAGUCAAACUAAUUUGUUUCAAAAGCUAAGUUAAACAAGUGUGUUUUUAAAUGGGAUUUGAACGAUUUCAUUGAUUCUGAUGUACGGAUUUUGACUUGGAGAUUAUUCCAAAGUGAAAAAUAUCUAAUCUAAUUAAUUACUUGGUGUAAUAUGAAUGGGAGAGGUCUCUAUCAGUGGGGAAAUCUGAUAAAACUUUAAAAUACAGUUAUAAGUCCAAAAUCUGUGCCCUCCUUCAUAUAUUCAUAUAUUCUAAAGCCAUCAAGUGGGCCAUAUUGGAGUCUUUGCCAGGCCGAUUCUGGGCCCUGGGCCUUAAGUUUGCAACCCCUGACCUACGUGCUUGAAGUACACCCACAUCAUCUCAAAGCUGGACGUAGAUACGGUGACAUCAUAAUCUGGUUUCUGACGUCUCAUUUUGAAGCCUCGAGAUUUUCACCAUCACUACUUUCAAGCAACCGGAUGAACAUAAAUACAGAGUUAACGUCGGAGUGCUGCAGUUUAAAUGGUAUACAUCAGAGGUAGGGAACAUCCGGCCCGGAGAUCAUUUCUGUCGGACCGCAAAGCAAUAAAAUGUUUAUAUUUUAUAAAUACACUUAUAGCAUGAAUAAAUAAAAAGUUCAUGAAAAAAAAUAUCGACAGCUGUUGAGUUAGUUAAUAUGUACGCCCUCAUUUGUCAUCUGUCACGACACUCUUCUGAGUUUGGUUGCUCAACAAGCAGCUUUCACACGACCACAGGCAGACAGAGAGAAUAUCACCCAUGCAGGUUUUGUGGUGAGUGCGUUAAUAGCCAAGAAACUGAAACCUCAUGAAGAAGUAGAGUUUGUGAAGGAGUCCUCGGAGCUGCUGCAGAGCUGCUCGCCCCCGACAAAGUGCAAUUAUUUCAAAGCGUGAGUGUCAUGGUCCUGGGUGUUUCCCAGCCGUGACAGUCAGCUUGUCUCGAAGAACUGUGUCAGACAGGAUUACUGAUAUGGCACAAGAUACUGGAAAAACACGGAAGGACACUGCAAGAAACUUUGAGUAUUUUUCUCUCGCCUAUUUUUGUACAUGGGAUUACGGGCGACUGUGGAACGAAGGAGGAGUUGCUGUCUUUGCAAGCUAUGCACGGCACUACUAAAGGUGAAGAUUUGUUUGAACAAGUUGUUGUGGCCAUGAACAAAUUUGAACUGCCAUUUGAAAAGUCGAGUGGGCUCGCCACUGAUGGAGCACCCACAAUGGUUGGCGCAAAGAAAGGAUUGACUGCAUUAGUCAAAAAGAAACGAGCCAUCUGAGUCUGGAUGCAAGUGAUUUAGUUGUAUGCCACUGCGUCACACAUCAAAGAGUCUGUGUGCACAUUCGUGUCCAAGACAAACAAAAGCAGAGGGCUGAACAACCGUCUGUUCAAGGAGCUACUCAGUGAGCUCGAGUCAGAGUACAGCCAUCUGGUUUAUCACUGUGAAGUGCAACGGCUGAGUUGUGCAGAUAUGCUUGCACGGUUUUAUACACUGUGGGAAGAAGUCAGGCACUUCAUGAGGGGAAACCUGUCAUUGAGCUCAGUGAUGGCAAGUUCCUCAGUGAUCUGGCUUCAUGGUGGACAUCACCAAGCACAUGUCAGAGCUAAACAUCAAGCUGAAGGUCCCAACCGGCUCAUCAAAUCUCUGCUUUCAAAUGUGGAAUCAUUUGAAGUGAAGUUAAGGCUGUGGCAAGGACAACUGGAAAAGGGAAACACUGUACACUUUCGCACCCUGCAAGAGCAAAAGCCUGACGUUACAUCUGAAUAUGCCAGUGAGUGUGCAAAACUCAUUCACGCAGGAGAGGUUUCAAGCUGUGAAGAAUAUCCAAAAGGAACUGGACAUGUUCGCUACGCGGUUUAAUGUGUAACCAUUUGAUGUGUCAGACACUUUCCAAAUGGAAAUAAUUGGGCUGCAAAACAACCACGAGCUCAAAGCUAAGUACAACAUCCUCUCUCUGCUGGACUUUCACAAACUGUAUGUUCAUGCCAAGGAUUUUGCCAUCCUGAGGACACCUGCCCUGAAAUUUGCAUCUCUGUUUGGGACAACGUGCCACUUUGAACAGUUCUUUUCAAAACUGACUCUCGCAAAAAGCCGCUUCUGCUCAAGACUAACUCACCCAAACUUGGAAAAGCAGUUCCGAGCAUCAUCAUCAUCAUCAUCGUCAUCAUCAUCACAGCCAGCUGACAUCACACAAAAGAAACAGUUCCAGCCAUCUCAUUAGGUGAGUCUGACGAGCAGAAAUGCAGCAGUCAUGAGGCUUAGUAACACAGUAGUUAUAGACUUUUCUUUUUGGAAUUUCUAGGUAUGUGUUCAGAGAACUAUAUAAAACUUGGCCCUUCAUAUGAAAAAGCUUCCUCACCCCUGGUAUACAUGAACCUGUCGUGUCAAACUGCUUUACCUAGCGAACUGUUAACCAGGACAUAAAGAGCGUAAGCACCUGUAACCUUCUAUAUUACUAGAUGUGUCGAUGUGCAGAAUAUUGGCAGUGUGAAUGUAUUCAUGAGGAUGUUGAGUGAAUAGAUAGUGUGUUAACCAGACUUCUUUAGUGCACAGACAGCCUGCAGAAUGCAGCCGCACUGAACUCUUACGCUUGUGUUUGUGUGUUUGUAGCGCUAAUGAGCUACUAAAAUAAGUUAUUUCAAACUUAUGCACAACUCAAAGUGCUUUUGUGUCCAAGUGAAAUGUUGGCGCCAUUUCUGAGGUGAUUCAUGUACACUGUAAAACCCAACAGUGCAUCUUACUAAAAGAAGUAAGUUCUUCUUACUCAGUUCUGAAAAAUAGUUAAAGUAACUUUCAUGAAUUGUGUUAGGUAGACCCAAAAGUAUACAUAUGAUAUAAUAACUUUAUUGUAAUAAGUACACAUGAUGUUUUUGUAACGUUUUAAGUACUGUUGCUUUAAACUGUUUAAGUUGUGCUAAUUCAUUUGUAUUAGUCAUCAUCCACAGCCCUGCCCCCAGUGUUUUGCCUGGACUGUCUGGAGAAAUUUUGCGAGAGUGGAAAGUACAAGAUAAACGUUAUUUUUAUGUUUUUCUGUUAAUGCUUACUUCUAGCAUACAAAACGUACAUUUAUCAGACUGCUUUGUUUUAGUUGUACUUUGUUGUAAUUUAUCAGACUACUUUGUUGUAGUAGCUAUAUAGAAAAACGUAACUUAGCUUGCCAGCACACAAUUCCCGCCUAGCGCUGUAUGAAGUCUGCCUUCACAAUUUAAAAAAUUAACGGUUGGUGGCUUGUUUCAAUCAAAUAGUUGGUAAGUAGUCUAAUUUUUGCAAACUGCAUGGCACAAAACUUUUGGUAAAAUCAGUGUUUAGGCUUUUCUGACUCUGAACUUUAUCAAGUUCAAAUGUAGCCUACUUUUGACACAGUGAAAAUAGUAGAAGAUUUAUUUAGUGUUAAUUUUAAGAGUUUAGUGGACAAGUUUGCCUUCACAAAUUUUAAAUAUGAUGGUUAGCGGCAUUUUAGUCGUGAAAUAAUUUACCUUUUCAAAGCUGCACUGCACCAAACCUAAACGUUUCUGACUCUGUACUUUCCAAGGGUUAGCCUAUUGUGUACUUCACUUGUGUAAAAUUGCUUUAUUAUUUUAUAACAUAUAGAGUAGUUGACCAACCUGAAUUGAAAAUGAGCUGUAGUGCAAGAAUAAAUCUUACUGUUUUCAAAGCUUGUGUUAUCCAGGUUGACUGUUUUUAAGUGAAGUAAAAGUCUAAAAGUAAAAACUGUUCUGCUAGCUUUCUGUUCUCAUGGCUUUUGUGUUAUUACAGUCUGAUGAUUGAAGGAGCAGUAGCAUGCCGAGAGAUCAUCCAGCACUGCACUAAAGACAGUAAAGGCUUCCCACCUGACCUCCUACACGACCUGUUUGAAGGUGUCGUUCCAGUGGAGUUGGCACAUUGUUUAAAAGGUUUGAUUUCUAAGAGAUAUUUUACCUUAGAAGACUUAAACAGAGCAAUUCUGCGCUUUCCAUACCAACAUUCUGACAAAGUUGAUCGCCCUCAUCCAAUACCCUCAAAUUUUGCCAGGCGAGGGACCAUUGGUGGGAACGGGCAUGAAAAUCAUGCCCUUCUUAGACUGUUGCCUUUUCUCAUUGGCUCCAAAGUUCCAGAAAGAGACACUUUUUGGGAAGUGCUAAUGGAUUUAAAGGACGUAGUUCAGCUUGCCAUGUCUCAUACUUUUAGUGACGAGACCAUUCAGUACAUGGCCUGUAAAAUAUUAGAUCACAGACAACUCUUUCAGGAAGUGUUUCCUAAUGUUCGAUUCAGGCCAAAGCAUCAUUACAUCGAGCAUUACCCGCACUUAAUAAAGUGCUUUGGUCCCUUAGUUCAUCUUUGGACAAUGAGAUUUGAGGGAAAGCACAAGGUUUUCAAAAAAAUAAUUCAUGACACUCACAACUACAAAAAUGUACUAAAAACUUUGGCAGAGAGACAUCAAAGCAUGAUGGCAUUUUAUUUGUCCUCAUCAAAGUUUUUCAAACCACCUGUGCAAACAUCCAAAAUGGAGUCUUUGUACAUUUCAUCAUUACCUGCAGAUACACAAUCAUUUAUUUCAGGUAUUGCUGACAGUGACACAAUAUAUGCAACAAAAAAGGUUACAAUUAAUGGCACAAACUUUGCAAUUGGCAUGUUUGUAUGCACAGGUGCUUAUGCUGCAUUGCCAGAGUUCAAAGAGAUUCUUAAUGUACUGCUCAUCAGAAACAACAUUUAUUUUCUCUUGAAAGACUAUGACACUCAUUACGUUGAGCACUUGCGUUCAUAUGAAGUAGCAGAGAAUCAACAGAGGGGUCUCCGUCACAGUGUAAAAUCUCUGUGCCAACUGUCUGACCACAUGCCGCAUUUUGCUUACAAGAUAGCAAAUGAAGUCAUUCUAACAACAAACCAUUUCAUUCCAGUGUCUGACUAAAGUAACAGAACUGAGACAUCAGCUGAUUCCACCAAUUUGUGAACCAAUGUAAAAGUAAUUCAUCUAUUCAGUUUUUUGUAUUCACAUAAAUGUUUUUAUACUUUUGCACAAUUAAUAUUUUGUAAAUAACUGUAAACACAAACAUGCAUUAAAAUGCCACUAUAAUAUGUGAAACCUGUCUGUUACAGAAAUAAAAAAUUCAGAUGGAGGCAACAGGAAUAUUGAAGCUAAGGGUCAUCCUUGAUAAGGAUAACGCUGAAAAACUUAUUUUGCCAUCUCGUCCAAACAGUGUGCAAGCCCUCAUAGAUGAGAUCAAAUCUAGGCUAAAUUUUACCUUCGACUUUCGGCUUCAGUUUCAUGACCCAGAUUUUGAUAAUGCCUUGUGUAAUUUGGUUAAAAUAGAAGACCUGCCAGCUAUAGCAUCUGUUAAAGUUUAGUUGAGCUGGACCGGAUUUCAACGAGCACUGAUGACACAAUCCUUCAGACUGAUAGCACUGAUACCAUAGAUUCACCAGAGCGUAUUAGUAGAUGGCCAGAGGUUUUUAUUGUUCCGCCAUUUUCUUAUGAAGUGGAACAUGUAUUAAGAGAGGGUAAUGCAGCAUUUGAUAAAGAUGGGAAAGUAAUUACACUGACACGAGAUCAAAAACACAACAUACUUGAGACAAUGGGGGAAGAAAUCUACAAACUAAAAGCAUACCCUAGUACAACACAAAUUGGCAAGGCUGCAGAAGCUUUAGUUAGAAAACAUCCCUGUCUGAAAGAGAGGAAUUCUGACACUGGGUGGGAAGGGUGGAAGAAUAGCCUGAGAUAUAAAAUGGGAAACCAAAGAAAGAAGUUGGCUAAAGCUGGCAUCAUGGAUGUUGCUGUGAAUGCUGGAAAGCGCAGCAGAACAAACCCAGAUGGAGCUUCACCAAGGGCCAAUAUUAAAAGACCUAGGAGAGGUGAGGUCAACUUCCUUCCUUCUUAUCCUUCUGGAGAAACAAGGGAGUCUCUGGAAACCAGAAGACUUGAGAUGGUAGAAGAGUUCAAGAAGACCUCAGCAGGAAGAGACAUCCCUCUCAUUCAUCAGGAUAUGAUGCGGACUUUUGCACUCCGGCGUGAAGAGAUUGUCACAACUUCUCCUCCUGUAUCAGAGCUCAAGGACAGAUGGCCAGCACUCUUUCAUGAGACACAGCUCUACUUUGAAUUUCAUCGGAUCACCAAUCAGAAUCUGCCACAUGUGUUUUAUGCUGCAAAAAGAGGAAAACUGGACGGGUCGGUGAAAGGAUGGAGCAGCUUUUGUUGGCAUAUGGAAAACAGGACAAAAACGACAUCUAUGCAACUAGAACAGCAGCUCUGGCUGGCCUACCAAUGUACCUCAAGGAGGAUUCUUCAGAGAUUUUCAAAACAUGCAAGGAUGAAAUUGAGUUCUAUGAAGCCACAAUUGCUCUGGUUGCUGAUGUCGAUGAAGAGGAGGUGCCUGGAGGAGUUCCUUUCUCACCACGCCAAGUGUUCAUAGUACUUGAAGAUCAGGUUGUUAUGACUCAUCACUCAUGGACUGAUGCACUGGUGUGUUUGUUUGGGCUAAUCUAUGCUCUGCAUCUGAGCUAUCCUGAGAAGUGUACUGGCUUUUUUGAGUUCAUUCAAAUAGUGUUGCUGAAGCUAGACGAUGAGAGAAAGCAACUAAAACCAAAAUUGCAGACACUAAAAAAUGAGCUUGUGUAGAUGAUGUUUGUUUUUCACUGUCAGUAUAUUCGUGCUUUUUCAGUUAUCUGUGAAUGGCUUCAAUAGUUUUAUUUGUUCAGGGUAAUUUGCUUUCUAAAAAGCAAUGUGGAGAAAGCUAAGAAUAAGGAGACAAUCCAUAUUUGACGUUUUGUUUGUGAUUGAAAAAAAUCUUCACAUAGUGUGUAAUCUUAAGCUUAUUUCCAAAAAUAUAUUUUAGUUACAUGGAAAUCUUUUGGGAGAUAACUGAUAAUUAGUCAAUAUGUACAGUAAACUUUCAAGCUUUAUUUUUUAAUUGUGUGAUGAGUGCCAGUUCACUUGAUUCGAGGUCUGGGCAAAACUGUUGAGAAGCCACAAAUACCUUUGAAUAUUCAAGCCAUGAAUAUUUUUUGUUAGUGACAUCCUUAGUUCAGCUGUUUUCUAUAGUUGCAUUGCUGUAGUGCAUGUGAUUUCAUUAUUAUACUAAAUGUUACUUAAAAUUGUGAUUGUUAUGGCUCUAAUUGCCUCUAAACUAUUGUUUUUUAUGAUGUACACCUAUGUAUCAGGUCUACAUUACUAAAUUUGUGUUUUGUACAUUUAAUCGAUUUUCAAAAUGCUACAAAAAACAUUCAAAAUUCCCUAAAAGCGCAAGUUUUAAAAUGCCUAAUUAUUUGUUAUUUGAUAAUGGCUUUAGCAGUCAUAGUUUAUGACUGAAAGUAUGGUUGUAUUCAUUCUGUAUUUUCUCUGCAGUUAAAGUUAAUAAAAACUGAAUGGAAAGAAUAA